UUUAUGGAGAGUUUGAUCCUGGCUCAGGAUGAACGCUGGCGGCGUGCCUAAUACAUGCAAGUCGAGCGAACGGACGAGAAGCUUGCUUCUCUGAUGUUAGCGGCGGACGGGUGAGUAACACGUGGAUAACCUACCUAUAAGACUGGGAUAACUUCGGGAAACCGGAGCUAAUACCGGAUAAUAUUUUGAACCGCAUGGUUCAAAAGUAAAAGACGGUCUUGCUGUCACUUAUAGAUGGAUCCGCGCUGCAUUAGCUAGUUGGUAAGGUAACGGCUUACCAAGGCAACGAUGCAUAGCCGACCUGAGAGGGUGAUCGGCCACACUGGAACUGAGACACGGUCCAGACUCCUACGGGAGGCAGCAGUAGGGAAUCUUCCGCAAUGGGCGAAAGCCUGACGGAGCAACGCCGCGUGAGUGAUGAAGGUCUUCGGAUCGUAAAACUCUGUUAUUAGGGAAGAACAUAUGUGUAAGUAACUGUGCACAUCUUGACGGUACCUAAUCAGAAAGCCACGGCUAACUACGUGCCAGCAGCCGCGGUAAUACGUAGGUGGCAAGCGUUAUCCGGAAUUAUUGGGCGUAAAGCGCGCGUAGGCGGUUUUUUAAGUCUGAUGUGAAAGCCCACGGCUCAACCGUGGAGGGUCAUUGGAAACUGGAAAACUUGAGUGCAGAAGAGGAAAGUGGAAUUCCAUGUGUAGCGGUGAAAUGCGCAGAGAUAUGGAGGAACACCAGUGGCGAAGGCGACUUUCUGGUCUGUAACUGACGCUGAUGUGCGAAAGCGUGGGGAUCAAACAGGAUUAGAUACCCUGGUAGUCCACGCCGUAAACGAUGAGUGCUAAGUGUUAGGGGGUUUCCGCCCUUAGUGCUGCAGCUAACGCAUUAAGCACUCCGCCUGGGGAGUACGACCGCAAGGUUGAAACUCAAAGGAAUUGACGGGACCCGCACAAGCGGUGGAGCAUGUGGUUUAAUUCGAAGCAACGCGAAGAACCUUACCAAAUCUUGACAUCCUUUGACAACUCUAGAGAUAGAGCCUUCCCCUUCGGGGGACAAAGUGACAGGUGGUGCAUGGUUGUCGUCAGCUCGUGUCGUGAGAUGUUGGGUUAAGUCCCGCAACGAGCGCAACCCUUAAGCUUAGUUGCCAUCAUUAAGUUGGGCACUCUAAGUUGACUGCCGGUGACAAACCGGAGGAAGGUGGGGAUGACGUCAAAUCAUCAUGCCCUUAUGAUUUGGGCUACACACGUGCUACAAUGGACAAUACAAAGGGCAGCGAAACCGCGAGGUCAAGCAAAUCCCAUAAAGUUGUUCUCAGUUCGGAUUGUAGUCUGCAACUCGACUACAUGAAGCUGGAAUCGCUAGUAAUCGUAGAUCAGCAUGCUACGGUGAAUACGUUCCCGGUCUUGUACACACCGCCCGUCACACCACGAGAGUUUGUAACACCCGAAGCCGGUGGAGUAACCUUUUAGGAGCUAGCCGUCGAAGGUGGGACAAAUGAUUGGGGUGAAGUCGUAACAAGGUAGCCGUAUCGGAAGGUGCGGCUGGAUCACCUCCUUUCU
rnacentral:rRNA from 1 species